CCUACGGGUGGCAGCAGUGGGGAAUAUUGCACAAUGGGGGAAACCCUGAUGCAGCGACGCCGCGUGAGUGAAGAAGUAUUUCGGUACGUAAAGCUCUAUCAGCAGGGAAGAACAUGACGGUACCUGUCUAAGAAGCCCCGGCUCACUCCUUGCCAGCAGCCGCGGUAAUACGUAGGGGGCAAGCGUGAUCCGGAUUUACUGGGUGUAAAGGGAGCGUAGACGGCAGCGCAAGUCUGGAGUGAAAUCCCAGGGCUUAACCAUGGAACUGCUUUGGAAACUGUGGAGCUAGAGUGCAGGAGAGGUAGGCGGAAUGCCUAGUGUAGCGGUGAAAUGCGUAGAUAUUAGGAGGAACACCAGUGGCGAAGGCGGCUUACUGGACGGUAACUGACGUUGAGGCGCGAAAGCGUGGGGAGCAAACAGGAUUAGAUACCCUAGUAGUC
rnacentral:rRNA from 1 species